rnacentral:rRNA from 1 species
UACGUAGGGGGCAAGCGUUGUCCGGAUUUAUUGGGUGUAAAGAGCGUGUAGGCGGUUAGGUAGGUCCGUUGUGAAAACUCGAGGCUCAACCUCGAGACGCCGAUGGAAACCAUCUGACUAGAGUCCGGAAGAGGAGAGUGGAAUUCCUGGUGUAGCGGUGAAAUGCGCAGAUAUCAGGAAGAACACCCGUGGCUAAGGCGGCUCUCUAGUACGGUACUGACGCUGAGACGCGAAAGCGUGGGGAGCGAACAGG